rnacentral:rRNA from 1 species
AGUGAACGCUGGCGGUAGGCCUAACACAUGCAAGUCGAACGGCAGCACAGUAAGAGCUUGCUCUUACGGGUGGCGAGUGGCGGACGGGUGAGGAAUACAUCGGAAUCUACUUUUUCGUGGGGGAUAACGUAGGGAAACUUACGCUAAUACCGCAUACGACCUACGGGUGAAAGCAGGGGAUCUUCGGACCUUGCGCGAUUGAAUGAGCCGAUUUCGGAUUAGCUAGUUGGCGGGGUAAAGGCCCACCAAGGCGACGAUCCGUAGCUGGUCUGAGAGGAUGGUCAGCCACACUGGAACUGAGAAACGGUCCAGACUCCUACGGGAGGCAGCAGUGGGGAAUAUUGGAAAAGGGGCGCAAGCCUGAUCCAGCCAUACCGCGUGGGUGAAGAAGGCCUUCGGGUUGUAAAGCCUUUUUGUUGGGAAAGAAAAGCAGCAGGUUAAUACCCCGCUGUUCUGACGGUACCCAAAGAAUAAGCACCGGCUAACUUCGU